UGCAUCGUUCGGGAAUAGAACCCGGGUCGCCCGUGUGGCAGGCGAGCAUUUUACCACUGAACCAUCGAUGC
rnacentral:tRNA from 1 species